UUAUUCGACGCGUGUGUACAUAACUAAUCUUUCCUUUACGUUAUAAGCAAGUAUUUAGUUUUUGGAUAGGCAAUGAAAAAAAUUAUCUUUUUUUUUUCUCGACAAAAUUAGUUGCUUAUUAGAUCUGUCUGUAUAAAAAUUAUACAUUUGAAAUCGUUUUGUAUUUUCCGUCUUCAUAGUGAUAACUAUUUUUGCUAUUAUAUCUUUAGUUGGGUAUGUUUUCAAUGUUUAACAGUAGCUGGUACCAUUGGCGUAGCAAGACAUUUUUUUCUGAGUCCGAUAUGUAUGGAUAGGAAAGACUAUUAAUAUGCGGUUCCUUACUUUAAAAUCGUUUUUGUUUUGAUAGUCAUACAAAUAUUGUUACAUCGUGGAACAGGUUUUAAAAUACCAUAUCCAGAUAAAAAUAAGGUUUUUACAUGUCGUAAUUAAAUGUUUACUUCUCGAGGAAUGUGCGUAUGUUGCGUCCGCUGACAACG